CUUCUCACAUAAAAUACACGAUUAAUCAAUCUCCAUCUCUCUACGCCCGUUCCCUUCUCAUUCAAUGCCAUUAUCAGUUUCUUCAACUCAACCGUUCCUCUUUUAAUGCAAUCAUCAAAUUCUUGAAUUCAAUAGCCCUGUCUGUUUGUAUAUCGCAAGUCAGUCAAGGGGUUAUUAGGAUUCGGGUAGAUGAAUCUUGUGGUAGACGAUCCUUCUUGAUUAUGUUGUUUGCGGCGAUGGCAGUGGUAGGUAGUGAAAGAUCGAAGCCUCAACAGUGGCGGCUUUAGGGUUCUUUCAUAAGUCACUCGGGGGCGGUUAGGAUUCCGGCAGAGGAAUCCUCAGAUGGUGAAGUUGAGGUUUGGUAGCGACUAUGGUGGUGAUUGAUGGUGAUUACAGGAAGUGGAUCCAUGUGAAGAAUUGACUGAUGAUGACAUUCGAACCGCCAUACAAGAUGCAUCAGGUCCUAGAUCUACCUUAUUUGUACCAGAAGUUCCGUUUGAUGUUCUUAUUAGAAGACAAAUUGCUCGUUUAUUAGAUCCAUGUGUUCAAUGUGCAAGAUUUGUAUACGAUGAGUUAAUUAAGAUGAGUCAUAGUUGUAUGGUUAAUGAGCUACAAAGGUUUCCCGUCCUUCGAGAGCAAAUGGAUGAUGUUACAGGAAAUUUCUUACACGAUGGUCUUCAAUCCUCUGAGACCAUGAUUGGACACGUAGUCGAAAUGGAGGUUAUUCGAUGACAAAGGAGAGAGUAGUUGUGGUAGAUCAGGCAACGGCGGUGGAUCUGGACACCAACGGCGAUGACGGAAUCGGAUUCCGGCAGGAAGAGUGUGGGCGGGUAACAAUAUAGUGGAGUUUAUUGUGUGAGGUUAAAGGAGGCGUAUGCGCAGAUAAACCGAAAGGCUCCUGUACCUAACGGAACCAUGGAUACAUUGAAAUUGUUGACUGAGACGUUUGGGAGGAGAGCCGAUAACAUGAAGUUUGUCUAGAUACAUAUCAAAUUGGAGCAAGUUUCGCUACAAAGCCCCUGUUUAAAGCCAUAUGAUUUUUUUUAAAUCCUUGGAAGCUGUUGUUUAAGGUGGCUUCCGAUCUCAACUCAAGAACGAAGGCUAGCACCCUUCAACGGCCGGAGAAAUCAAGGGUCCUAUAUUAAACCCAUUUUCCGUUAUAGAUUUGCGCCUAUAUAUGAGCUAUUAUCGCUGCCGUUCACGGAGGAGGAGAGAGACGCUCAGAAGCCAGACAAAACACCGGCCGUUGCACGCCUGCACCCAUGUUCCAGUGUUCCAGUUGUAAAUCGGAACUAUCCAUCAGACAAGUUCGAAAUCAAAGCCAUUUGAUCCAUUUAAGGUGUUUGUAUAGUGGAUCUCACCCUUUUGAGGACUAAAAUGUAAUUUCCUCCCUGGUUUUAAGACGGCAGCCCAGUAGACAUACCUUUUACCCUGAUUCUUCAUCCUUAUCUCCCAAAAUUGCCCCCAAUUCAAUAUCUUUAGCCUACAUGAUUCUUGCACAACGAACUAUUCAUCCCAACAGUCGGUGUACAUUGAAGACGCCAAUUGAUGAAAGUGUAAAUUGAAGGCGCCGAUUGAUGAUUGAAACGGUGGCAACAGUUAUAAAUACGAUCAAUGAUCAAUUAGGUUUGAUGAUUGAAAUCAACUCUUGAUAUUGAAGAUGUUCAAUCUGAUUUGGUUUUGAAAUAUAUGAUUAGUGUGGAUAGGGCUCAUUUGAUUUGUUGAUUAUGAUUGACAACAUUCAAUUGCAUGCUGAAUUUUAGUUUGACUUAAUGGCGUAAUUGCUGCCCCACUUGAAAAUACUUAAGAGCCCGGAAAAACUUCUUCUGGGAUUUUGACAAGUGUUUGUUCCUCAAUUUCAUCACUACCCUUUACAACACAAACAUUCGGUCUAACAACCUCAGACGAUAACAAACCUACAGUAACAAUACAACCAUCAACAAGUACCACGUGUUAGAUCAUUUGUCUGCCUUGUUACCCAUCCGCCACCACAACAAAUCUUCAAAUAAAAAACACAGUUCAGAAUCAACCCAACUGACCCAAAAUCAGGACCUGAAGAUAAGCUAAGAGGGGUUUUCAUUCAGAAACUGAACGGAAAAGUUGUUGUUAAACAAGCACUAACAACAGCUGCUGUUGAUGUUAAUGUGAACAAUAAUAUAGUUGCUAAAGUUGUCAACAGAGGAAACUUAGAUGGAGGGUCUAUGGUUAAGUUAUUUGAGUGGGCGAUCGAGCGAGCGAAGGACCAUGGUUGCGGAUGUUAGUAGUUAUAAUGUGGUUCUUAAAGCAUUAGGGAGAAGAAAGUUUUUUGCUUUUAUGGAGAGUGUUUUGAGUGAGAUGAGGAGUAAAGGGUUGAAGAUGGAUAACGAAACUUUUUUUAUUUUACGGAUAGUUUCGUUAAAGGUAAACGCGUCUCGAAAGCUUUACGUAUGUUUGGGAAAUUGGAAGAGUUUGGGAUGGAGUAUGAAAGGGAAAGUGUAGAUAUAUUGAAUCUUGCUUUGCAAGAAGAUUCCGGUGACUUACAAACCGCCGUUGUUAGUUACCGGAAUAAGUUCCCCCGGUCUCUUUUGCAACGCUUUCUUUAGACAUAUAGUGAAGUUCAAGGAUGGAAUCAUGACAUUGGUCAAUCAGUGAAGGAGUACAGUAUAUUGACUAUGCAAUCAGACAUGUACUUCUUAGACAGGUUUAAGUUAAAAGUACGGAAGCCCAGGAUUUAUACACAAAGCAAACGGUCUACUCAAGCCCUAGCAAUCCAAUCCGCACAUCCCGUCAUGGCAUAUGUAUAUGUUAGGUCAAAUCAAAGCUCAAAGGUCGCCAGAAACAAAUAACAGGGCUUGCUUUUUCAUAGACUUUAAACAUGCUGGUUUCAUCUGGUGCUGAUGCUCAGGCAAGUGGUGGAUGAGCUGGUGUCUGAUAAUUAUUUUGGGAUAUAGAAUAUUAAAUAAUAUUAGAUUCAUGUUUUUUGUUCUUACCACCACUGAAUGUUUUGACUGAAUUACAACUGUGUAUCUGGAACAUUAAUGGAUGGGAGAAGAGGAAAUCACGAAGCAUACAAUCGCCACCUGGACAUCCAUCCUCACUGGUUGGAGAAACUAAAGUUCAGUUCCAUAAUGAUCAACGGCAUCCCUCCUUGUUGUAUAUGAAAGUCAAAUUGCCAUUUAUGACCACCAACUGGAAUGCUUGAAGUUGGUAAAUAGUUGGACUCACACCUCACUUUUAACUAUCCCAAUGAAGCAUACAUCAUUUAACUAUCCCACGUAGCCGGUAAAACCUUGCAUUGCCAUGAAGUAUGGGGGCUUUUACACGCAUCACACCUUAUAUAGUUUUUUUUUUUUUUUUUUUUUUUUUGUAAUCGUUUGAAGGCUUGAUUUAUUUUCCCAUCCCUUAUUGUCGACCCCGCCGCAACGCGUGGGUUUCCCACUA